UACGUAGGUGGCAAGCGUUGUCCGGAAUUAUUGGGCGUAAAGCGCGCGCAGGUGGUUUCUUAAGUCUGAUGUGAAAGCCCACGGCUCAACCGUGGAGGGUCAUUGGAAACUGGGGAACUUGAGUGCAGAAGAGGAAAGUGGAAUUCCAAGUGUAGCGGUGAAAUGCGUAGAGAUUUGGAGGAACACCAGUGGCGAAGGCGACUUUCUGGUCUGUAACUGACACUGAGGCGCGAAAAGCGUGGGGAGCAAACAGG
rnacentral:rRNA from 1 species